AAAAAUUCCUUGGUGGCCAUGUAAAUGGGAAUUGGUCCCACACAUUGUGUGGCCAAUUUUAAUUGGUCCACUCCAUGUGUGGGCCAAGGACACUUGGACAACAACUAUAUGAGCCUAAAGUAUGACCAAGUAGUCAUCUUUUCCCCAUUGCAAGACUUAGAAAAAAAAAAUCAAGGAGUUGAAGACCACCUUCAACACCCCUCUCGGCUACAAACCAAGAAAAACCAAAUCCAAAUCAAGCCACCCCAAAAUUAUUUCCUUGGUAUAAAUCAACUAUUUAGAAGUCCCUAAGUAACGUGGAAGAGUUGUUUGGGUCAUCCAACCACUAGUUGUGCCCAAUUGCAAACCCUAACUAUUGAAGGAAGUGAAGAAGGAAGACCUUGGGCAGCCCGAAUCAUAGUUUGGACUUAGCUUGAGUUGGAUCAUAUUGGAGAGCGUUUGAGGUACAGACGCACAGCCUGGUGAUCCACCUGUUUAGGACACCC